CAUCCUUUUGGAAUUAAACAGCAUAGACUGGACAACAUUUUGAAAGGAAACCCAGUUGCCUUGAUCGAAAUCGAGGAUGCCACGUUCAAAGACCUUUUAUCGUGGAUGCUACAGCUAAAACCGGAAGACAGACCAUCGGCCAAAAAGGCGUUAAAACACCCUUAUCUACAAACCGAUAGGGAGAAUUUUGAUUUGCUGUGUGAUGUUGGGAAUGAACCAGAAAUAAAGACAUCAUCUCCACAUUCUCUUCCCUCAAAUAUUCGUGAGCAGUUAAGUCUUUCAAUAGGUUGGAUGGACCGUAUCGAUUCUGAAUUCUUUAAUCAUUUCAACAAAGUAUCCGACUCUACAUGGUUAGGUUGCCUAAGAUUUUUACGAAACGUUCGCCAGCAUUGGCGUGAUAAACCUCGUCCACAACUGUCAUCAUGUGUUAAAGAUGGAAACUAUCAAGAGUAUUUUCUUCAACUUUUUGAGGAGCUGCCUUAUCUAGUUCACCGAGCCAUAAGAUUGAGUGACUGGAAGGCAAGACCUGAUCUAGAGAAACAUUUUCAAGUAAGACACAGAAAUGAGUUUUCAUUUUUGAUGGCCAAGCUAUAAAUUAGGGGUCCAUGACACUAUAUUUGUUAUUUUCACUCUCGUUCUCCUCUUCAUUUAUUGUACUUAAUGCAUGUAUGUUUUGAAUUCUGUAUAUUGCCGUUGCAAAUAUAUUUUAGACAGUGAGCAUCCUGUAAAACUUGAAGAAGGCAAGGGAAAGAAAAGCGAAGCUGUUAUUGACUACGCUGAUCUUAACGUGUAAAUGGUCAGAUGAAAUGACGAAUGGAAAAACAAGAACAUUAUCGUUUUCAAUUUAAAGCUAAAAUGUGCCACAUCAAUGAAGUCUUUUUAUUGUCUGCAAAAGAGGUUUAUGAGAAAGCAAUUGGCAAGAAGGAAAUCAAUGAUACCACAAUUCAAGAUCCUCUUUUAUGUAUGUUUUAAUUUAAGGCUCUUAAGUAACCAAGUUGGAUAUUACAUGGCCAGAUUUCUAUGAAUUUUUAUUGGAUUUUGCAAUGUUAUAUAAUUAACUGUUAUUUUUGUCUUCAAAUGACUAACGAUCCAAAACUGAAGGCGAAUGAAAUUUAAAUUUGAUUUCCAUACAUCAUGUUUGUUAUGUAAAAUAUUCAAUAAAUUUUAACAUGUGUAAUUUAGUAAUACAUAGCAUUUCUUCAAGUAUAACAAUGUAUAACAAUACAUAUUACUAUAUAUAACAAUACAAUAUGGAUGUCAUGACUUGUAACGCAAUUAAGGAGUUGCUCGAUCUGUGCUCAAAAUCCGUUGUACUUUAGCGUUAUAUAAUUCUUUCGUAUGAGCUCCGAGCGUGAGUUCAAUGUACUAGAACGCUAUUCAGUUUAUGUACGUCACUACAGUACCACUGCAAAGGGUAAAAGAUUGAUAUGCAUAAAAAGAACAACUUAUUGAAUUGGGGAAAUUGGUAAUAUUUGAAUAAAAUGACACUUUCAUGUGAGGUUGUGAUCA